CAUCGUCUAGCGGUUCGGGACACCUCUCUUUCAAGGAGGCAGCGGGGAUUCGACUUCCCCUG
rnacentral:tRNA from 1 species